GGGACACGUGGUAUCCUGUCUGAAUAUGGGGGGACCAUCCUCCAAGGCUAAAUACUCCUGACUGACCGAUAGUGAACCAGUACCGUGAGGGAAAGGCGAAAAGAACCCCGGCGAGGGGAGUGAAAAAGAACCUGAAACCGUGUACGUACAAGCAGUGGGAGCCUCUUUAUGGGGUGACUGCGUACCUUUUGUAUAAUGGGUCAGCGACUUAUAUUCUGUAGCAAGGUUAACCGAAUAGGGGAGCCGAAGGGAAACCGAGUCUUAACUGGGCGUUAAGUUGCAGGGUAUAGACCCGAAACCCGGUGAUCUAGCCAUGGGCAGGUUGAAGGUUGGGUAACACUAACUGGAGGACCGAACCGACUAAUGUUGAAAAAUUAGCGGAUGACUUGUGGCUGGGGGUGAAAGGCCAAUCAAACCGGGAGAUAGCUGGUUCUCCCCGAAAGCUAUUUAGGUAGCGCCUCGUGAAUUCAUCUCCGGGGGUAGAGCACUGUUUCGGCAAGGGGGUCAUCCCGACUUACCAACCCGAUGCAAACUGCGAAUACCGGAGAAUGUUAUCACGGGAGACACACGGCGGGUGCUAACGUCCGUCGUGAAGAGGGAAACAACCCAGACCGCCAGCUAAGGUCCCAAAGUCAUGGUUAAGUGGGAAACGAUGUGGGAAGGCCCAGACAGCCAGGAUGUUGGCUUAGAAGCAGCCAUCAUUUAAAGAAAGCGUAAUAGCUCACUGGUCGAGUCGGCCUGCGCGGAAGAUGUAACGGGGCUAAACCAUGCACCGAAGCUGCGGCAGCGACGCUUAUGCGUUGUUGGGUAGGGGAGCGUUCUGUAAGCCUGUGAAGGUGUGCUGUGAGGCAUGCUGGAGGUAUCAGAAGUGCGAAUGCUGACAUAAGUAACGAUAAAGCGGGUGAAAAGCCCGCUCGCCGGAAGACCAAGGGUUCCUGUCCAACGUUAAUCGGGGCAGGGUGAGUCGACCCCUAAGGCGAGGCCGAAAGGCGUAGUCGAUGGGAAACAGGUUAAUAUUCCUGUACUUGGUGUUACUGCGAAGGG
rnacentral:rRNA from 1 species